AAUCAACGCUGGCGGCGUGCCUCAGACAUGCAAGUCGAACGCUGCUGAUUGCCCUUCGGGGCGGUCAGCGGAGUGGCGCACGGGUGAGUAACACGUAGGUAAUCUACCUUUGGGUGGGGAAUAACAGCCGGAAACGGCUGCUAAUACCGCAUAAUGCAGCGGCACCACAUGGUGACAGUUGUUAAAGCGGGGGAUCGUAAGACCUCGCGCCUGAAGAGGAGCCNGCGGCGGGAUUAGCUUGUUGGUGAGGUAAUGGCUCACCAAGGCGACGAUCCGUAGCCGGCCUGAGAGGGCGGUCGGCCACACUGACACUGACAUACGGGUCAGACUCCUACGGGAGGCAGCAGUCGGGAAUUUUGGGCAAUGGGCGCAAGCCUGACCCAGCAACGCCGCGUGAAGGAUG
rnacentral:rRNA from 1 species